rnacentral:rRNA from 1 species
GACGAACGCUGGCGGCGUGCUUAACACAUGCAAGUCGAACGGAAAGGCCCUGCUUUUGUGGGGUGCUCGAGUGGCGAACGGGUGAGUAACACGUGAGUAACCUGCCCUUGACUUUGGGAUAACUUCAGGAAACUGGGGCUAAUACCGGAUAGGAGCUCCUGCUGCAUGGUGGGGGUUGGAAAGUUUCGGCGGUUGGGGAUGGACUCGCGGCUUAUCAGCUUGUUGGUGGGGUAGUGGCUUACCAAGGCUUUGACGGGUAGCCGGCCUGAGAGGGUGACCGGCCACAUUGGGACUGAGAUACGGCCCAGACUCCUACGGGAGGCAGCAGUGGGGAAUAUUGCACAAUGGGCGGAAGCCUGAUGCAGCAACGCCGCGUGCGGGAUGACGGCCUUCGGGUUGUAAACCGCUUUCGACUGUGACGAAGAGUGAGUGACGGUAAUGGGUGAAGAAGCACCGGCUAACUACGUG